rnacentral:lncRNA from 1 species
UCCGUCGGCGGUUCUUGUCAACACUGACAAGAAGUAGUACGGCUUCCCGCCGACUGUUGAACUUGAACUCUCCAAUAUGUUUGCGGUUGCCACCGCACCGGAGUCAAAACCACCCUGCAUAUGCGCGCGCGCACACACAUGUAUGUACUCAAACCACGUAUGUAAAUGGUUGCUUUAAAUUCGAAAAACAAGGGAAUGGGAGGUACCAAAAAUGAAGUCUAUGAUAGCUAUUACAUAUGUUAUAUAUUAUAUGCAUCUGUUAGUGAAUCACCUCAGAAUCGGUUUUACCAAAGUAAGCUUGUUUUCCAAGAAGAUAAUCCACCUGCAAAGAUUCAAUGAGAAGCAAAUGGAUGAGCAAAGAUUAAAUAUUGAUAAAAUAUUUAAGCUGGUGGGAAAAUGGAAUACCGAAGAGAGGAACUCCUCAGGGGAACCGUAGUCGGUGAUGGACUUCUUGUCGGUGGGAGUGAUCAUGACGCUCAAAUUGCUGGUGGUGUCGAAGUUGUCCUCAUACCUCAGCACUUGACCUGGGAACUCCACCUCUUUGCUUGGGUUCCAUUUCGAUGGUAUCGACAGCUUGAAUCCAUCCCCAUUAUAUGGCAUGAAUUCUGUGUCUGUUUUUGGCUUUCCAAAUACAUUUGCUGCAUCCAAAUCAACCCAUUCAUUUUCAUUCACUUAAUUAAUAUCAUUAUCUCUUCAUGCUAGCUAGGGUUCAUGAGGCCUAAACGUACGGCUGAUAAAGAACAAGAAAAAGAAAAAGGAAGAUAAUUACCAGCUUCACCAUAGGCAGCAUCAGCAGGAGAAACCUUAGAGCCAACAGCGGCAGCACCAAUGAGUACAGUGAGAGCCAACCUACGGGACACAAGGCUUCCAUCAUCUUCCUGCUUCUGAGCCUUGCACACCACCUGCUGGUUAGGCUUCAUGUUUGAAACCUGGCGCAGCGACGGCGAUAAUGAUGAUGAUCUGCCAUUGGUGGUGAGUGCGU